rnacentral:rRNA from 1 species
GAGUUUGAUCCUGGCUCAGGAUGAACGCUAGCGGGAGGCCUAAUACAUGCAAGUCGAGCGGUAGAAAUGACUUCGGUUGUUUUGAGAGCGGCGCACGGGUGAGUAACGCGUACAUUACCUACCUUUAAGACUGGGAUAGCCCUGGGAAACUGGGAUUAAUACCGGAUGUGAUAAUGUAUGAGAAUAUAUUAUUAAAGCUGAGGCGCUUAGAGAUGGGUGUGCGUCUGAUUAGCUAGUUGGUAGGGUAAAGGCCUACCAAGGCGASGAUCAGUAGGGGGCGUGAGAGCGUKGGUCCCCCACVACGGGUACUGAGACACGGACCCGACUCCUACGGGAGGCAGCAGUAAGGAAUAUUGGGUCMAUGGACGGAAGYUGGACCCMGCCAWCCCRSSGUGCAGRAAGAKGGBCCUAUGGAUUGUAAACUGCUUUUAGCAGAGWACGAAACCGC